rnacentral:rRNA from 1 species
UGGGGAAUAUUGCACAAUGGGCGCAAGCCUGAUGCAGCCAUGCCGCGUGUGUGAAGAAGGCCUUCGGGUUGUAAAGCACUUUCAGCGGGGAGGAAGGCGUUAAGGUUAAUAACCUUGGCGAUUGACGUUACCCGCAGAAGAAGCACCGGCUAACUCCGUGCCAGCAGCCGCGGUAAUACGGAGGGUGCAAGCGUUAAUCGGAAUUACUGGGCGUAAAGCGCACGCAGGCGGUCUGUCAAGUCGGAUGUGAAAUCCCCGGGCUCAACCUGGGAACUGCAUUCGAAACUGGCAGGCUAGAGUAUUGUAGAGGGGGGUAGAAUUCCAGGUGUAGCGAUGAAAUGCGUAGAGAUCUGGAGGAAUACCGGUGGCGAAGGCGGCCCCCUGGACAAAGACUGACGCUCAGGUGCGAAAGCGUGGGGAGCAAACAGG